UAAAAAUAUCUAGAAUGGUGCUGAAUGCCGUAUUCAUUUGGGGACAAUAAUCUCAAUUAGAGGGACACUCUGUAGUGGGAUUGUGUUUAAGUUCAUUUCAAGCUUAACUGGUGCCCUACCACUUCCUUUCAAAUGCCUGUGACAUUACAAAUCUUUCUACAGUAUGUUGAAGGAGUUGACGUUCUCCUUGCUGAGCCAACUUGUGGGGGAUUAAUCUAAGAGGACGAGGCUAAGGGGCCAACGUUGAAUAUUUAGAUGUUGAUGGGGGCUACAGUGGGAGGCCAGGUCAAGAACGCAGAGGAGCAGCUCCAGGUUGCUAGGCCAUGGGCAAAACGAGACGAAGUGGGAGUUGGGGAGGGUUUCCUUAGGGCCCAGAGUCACAAAUAGAAGGCACUCAGGGGAAGAUAGAGAGCGGAGAUGUCUCUGGCACCAGUACCAUCCUCUUCACCUAAGGGGGUUGCACGGUGAUUGUUAGUCUUUGGCUUUCUACUUCCUUUUAAAACCCUGGCACUCUGGUAUGUGAGCACAGGAAGCUGGAUACAGCCACAGGCCUUGGGACACCCACCAGGAUAAUUCUGAACCUCAUAGUCCUGUGUGAAAAAACUUUACAUAUAUUUAGGAUGUCAAUAACCUGUGAAGUACUACCAUGUACCUAAAAAUGGUGGUAAAAUAUUGCAUGAGGUAGAAAAUCAAGGAAAGAGACAGAAUGAAAAUUGGGGUUAUUGGCAUCCAAGUUAUGGAAAGUUCCAUGUAAUAGUGUUUAAUCCUAUUUUCCAGUCAGCAUCUUGGACAUGGUGAUGAUGUUAACCAACACCAGGAAGUUCUUCUCGCAGAUCAUCCCCUGGAUCUGAGAAAAUGCUGCUCUUGGGUGACAGAAGUAGAUGAUAUGGAUCUUGCUUCUUUGUGUGACUUCGGAGGGUCUACAGGACAUGGUUAGAGGAGUUUGGCUUCCUGGGCUACGUUGUUCCUGGCUGGUCACUGACAUGGAAACCCCAAACCAUCUCUCCAGUUUGAGGAAAUAUUGUUCCGUGGGGUAAGUAUUCGGUCAAGAAGAUUCUUAAGGUCCCUUCCACGUCUUGCUAUUGAGGAUUCUAAAACCCAACUGCCACGGCAUUUAGUACUAUUCCUCCCUGCUCCCUGACACCAAAAUAGGCAUUCAAUAAAUAUUUGUGGAAUAAAUGAGUGAGUGAAAAA
rnacentral:lncRNA from 1 species